AUGUCUCAGAAGCGAAGGGAGAAGGUGGAUACAGGCCCGGUUCCACGGAAGCAUGGUGCAAUGGAGAAGACAUGCCCCCCUGAUCAGCUCCGCCGACAGGCGCAGGGCAUCCAGCGGCCUGUCAAGACUGGAGCACGUCUUGCCGGAGAGAAGAAGCACAAAACUGAAGCAGAUGUUACAGGAGAGAAAAAGCACACGAAAGGCAAUAGUGCAUCUUUUCCAACGAAAACAACCACGCCACUAGUCAAAGCAAGAACGAGUUCCCGCUGUUCCGAUGAAUGCACCAGCCGCCCGAUCGAUGCUCACGACCAUGGCAGCACUGUUGCCAUCCAGGAACAGAGUCAAGAAUCCGCCGCAAUCAAGAUAGAUAAAGAACUGGAGUACAUAACCCAAAAGUUGAACAAGUUGGGAGUGGCAGAUGAUAUUGGCUUUGAGGAGUACUAUGAAUGCUUGAUGAAUCUGCCUCCCGACCCCUCCGUUGAUACUUCCAUCAGACUGGAUGAUACAGAUCGUUAUGACAUGGACAUCCGCCACGCGGUGUACCGCAUCAGAUCCCACAAGUUGUCACAAAAGGAGUCCAAGAAUGAGUUGUGCCGUGAUGAACUGAAAGAUUGCCCUAUGGAGCUUCUUGACAGCGAAGAAUUUCCUACAGAUUUCCUCGUGAAGAUGCGAUAUUUUAGCUUCUUGGAGGAAGAAGGUGUAUUAGACUGGUUCUUCCAUCCUGAACUCUGCAAGCUUGCUUGCCUGAAUGACUACCAGCGUCUAGUGCCUCGGGAUCAUGGUGUUGUUUUUGAUUGGGAGUACGCUGAUUGCGAGUUGUACCGCAGUUACUUCCAUAGCUAUGAGAUGCAACAUGAAUACAUCGAGUACUUUGAAACAUUAUUAAGGGAACUUAAGUGGUUGAAAGAUUGUCUACCGGUUAACGAUACUUCUCCUACUGCAAGCAAAAUACGGACCAGAGGAAUUUAUCAAGCAACUAAGAUUGCCACUCGCUUUCCCAAGAUCACAACUCAUUUAGUUCGUAUUGGCUUCAGUGAUUGUCUUACUUACAUGGGCAUUGAGGCUAGGUGGUGCAACGGAUCCGAUGGUCUCCAUUUCGAGAUUUGGAAGCGAGUCACUCAACAAAAGGAGAGUUUCACAAAUGCUUUGAAGGAAGUCUAUUUACUGAACAAGUGUCCGUCGCGGCAAGAUAGCAUUGAGUAUGCCAUAGAGUUUGAUCAUUCCGUUAUGAAACUAGAGUUUCUUCAUUGCACGGCAAGAGUUCCCAAGGAAAUAUCAGAGGAUAAAGCUCAGGAGUUGAUUACAGAGAAAGUUAAAAAGCUGAGGAUAAAACCCAAAUUCUUUGCUGACUAUAUCAGAAAGAAGAUAGACAUUGCCAAAACUAUAGGAUUGAUUACCGAGGUUUAA
rnacentral:rRNA from 1 species